UACGUAGGGUGCGAGCGUUGUCCGGAAUUAUUGGGCGUAAAGAGCUCGUAGGCGGUUUGUCGCGUCGACUGUGAAAACCUGGGGCUUAACUCUGGGCCUGCAGUCGAUACGGGCAGACUUGAGUUCGGUAGGGGAGACUGGAAUUCCUGGUGUAGCGGUGAAAUGCGCAGAUAUCAGGAGGAACACCGAUGGCGAAGGCGGGACUCUGGGCCGAUACUGACGCUGAGGAGCGAAAGCGUGGGGAGCGAACAGG
rnacentral:rRNA from 1 species